rnacentral:rRNA from 1 species
GAUGAACGCUGGCGGCGUGCCUAAUACAUGCAAGUCGAGCGAACAGACGAGGAGCUUGCUCCUCUGACGUUAGCGGCGGACGGGUGAGUAACACGUGGAUAACCUACCUAUAAGACUGGGAUAACUUCGGGAAACCGGAGCUAAUACCGGAUAAUAUAUUGAACCGCAUGGUUCAAUAGUGAAAGACGGUUUUGCUGUCUCUUAUAGAUGGAUCCGCGCCGCAUUAGCUAGUUGGUAAGGUAACGGCUUACCAAGGCAACGAUGCGUAGCCGACCUGAGAGGGUGAUCGGCCACACUGGAACUGAGACACGGUCCAGACUCCUACGGGAGGCAGCAGUAGGGAAUCUUCCGCAAUGGGCGAAAGCCUGACGGAGCAACGCCGCGUGAGUGAUGAAGGUCUUCGGAUCGUAAAACUCGGUUAUGAGGGAAGAACAAAUGUGUAAGUAACUAUGCACUGCUUGACGGUACCUAAUCAGAAAGCCACGGCUAACUACGUG